UGGGGAAUUUUGGACAAUGGGCGAAAGCCUGAUCCAGCAAUGCCGCGUGUGUGAAGAAGGCCUUCGGGUUGUAAAGCACUUUUGUCCGGAAAGAAAUCCUUGGCUCUAAUACAGUCGGGGGAUGACGGUACCGGAAGAAUAAGCACCGGCUAACUACGUGCCAGCAGCCGCGGUAAUACAUAGGGUGCAAGCGUUAAUCGGAAUUACUGGGCGUAAAGCGUGCGCAGGCGGUUUGCUAAGACCGAUGUGAAAUCCCCGGGCUCAACCUGGGAACUGCAUUGGUGACUGGCAGGCUAGAGUAUGGCAGAGGGGGGUAGAAUUCCACGUGUAGCAGUGAAAUGCGUGGAGAUGUGGAGGAAUACCGAUGGCGAAGGCAGCCCCCUGGGCCAAUACUGACGCUCAUGCACGAAAGCGUGGGGAGCAAACAGGAUUAGAUACCCUGGUAGUCCACGCCCUAAACGAUGUCAACUAGUUGUUGGGGAUUCAUUUCCUUAGUAACGUAGCUAACGCGUGAAGUUGACCGCCUGGGGAGUACGGUCGCAAGAUUAAAACUCAAAGGAAUUGACGGGGU
rnacentral:rRNA from 1 species